rnacentral:rRNA from 1 species
AGCGAACGCUGGCGGCAGGCCUAACACAUGCAAGUCGAGCGCCCCGCAAGGGGAGCGGCAGACGGGAGAGUAACACGUGGGAACAUGCCCUUCAGUACGGAACAACCAAGGGAAACUUUGGCUAAUACCGUAUACGCCCGUAAGGGGAAAGAUUUAUAGCUGAAGGAUUGGCCCGCGUCUGAUUAGCUAGUUGGUGGGGUAAUGGCCCACCAAGGCGACGAUCAGUAGCUGGUCUGAGAGGAUGAUCAGCCUCACUGGGACUGAGACACGGCCCAGACUCCUACGGGAGGCAGCAGUGGGGAAUAUUGGACAAUGGGCGCAAGCCUGAUCCAGCCAUGCCGCGUGAGUGAUGAAGGCCUUAGGGUUGUAAAGCUCUUUCGUCAGGGAAGAUAAUGACGGUACCUGAAGAAGAAGCCCCGGCUAACUUCGUGCCAGCCGCCGCCGUAACAC